rnacentral:rRNA from 1 species
AUUGAACGCUGGCGGCAGGCCUAACACAUGCAAGUCGAGCGGAUGAAGGGAGCUUGCUCCUGGAUUCAGCGGCGGACAGGUGAGUAAUGCCUAGGAAUCUGCCUGGUAGUGGGGGAUAACGUCCGGAAACGGGCGCUAAUACCGCAUACGUCCUGAGGGAGAAAGUGGGGGAUCUUCGGACCUCACGCUAUCAGAUGAGCCUAGGUCGGAUUAGCUAGUUGGUGGGGUAAAGGCCUACCAAGGCGACGAUCCGUAACUGGUCUGAGAGGAUGAUCAGUCACACUGGAACUGAGACACGGUCCAGACUCCUACGGGAGGCAGCAGUGGGGAAUAUUGGACAAUGGGCGAAAGCCUGAUCCAGCCAUGCCGCGUGUGUGAAGAAGGUCUUCGGAUUGUAAAGCACUUUAAGUUGGGAGGAAGGGCAGUAAGUUAAUACCUUGCUGUUUUGACGUUACCAACAGAAUAAGCACCGGCUAACCUCGUG